AUGUCGCUGGUUUUCUUUGCGAUUGCCGCAUUUUCGAUUUUUCGGUGUGGCAGCGCAACAUCGAAUUACCCUGAGAUGAAUCCAGAGCUCGGAAAGUACCAAGAUGCGUCUGCGGUGUUUCCGCUGAGCGAGACCUGGUACGCGGCGUACAGGAACUACGAGGAUGACCCAGUGUUCGGUACUUCCAAGUGCUUAAAUUUCGCCGAGGCGCAGCCCGAAGAGGAUGGUGGUUAUCCGGUCGUGGCUCACUACGGACAAGAAUCGCAGUCGCUCAAUGGCGUGAUAACGCUCGAGACCAGUGAAGGAUAUAACACCAAGAAUCUGAUUGUGCUCCAACCCGAAGGUCAAGACCAGUCAUUAACCUUAUUCGUGUCUUACCUGGAUCCUGGGAAAUGCGGUGUCAACAGGAAUCUCUACGUUGACGAAACUGCAUGCACUGUCUUCGUUCCCGAGAGUCAACUGGGAAAAAACACUACCUGCUGCGAUUUCGUGUACGACCUGCUGUGUGGUACCACCAAGCACCAGAUCUAUGACAGCAGUUGUGAUAAGCAAGGCAAAUGA